CCGACCUUAGCUCAGUUGGUAGAGCGGAGGACUGUAGUGUGUUGCAGAUAAAUCCUUAGGUCGCUGGUUCGAAUCCGGCAGGUCGGA
rnacentral:tRNA from 2 species